rnacentral:rRNA from 1 species
GAUGAACGCUGGCGGCGUGCUUAACACAUGCAAGUCGAACGAUGAAGGAGGAGCUUGCUCCUCCGGAUUAGUGGCGAACGGGUGAGUAACACGUGAGCAAUCUGCCCCAGACUCUGGGAUAAGCGUUGGAAACGACGUCUAAUACCGGAUACGAGCCGAGCAGGCAUCUGCAUCGGCUGGAAAGAACUUCGGUCUGGGAUGAGCUCGCGGCCUAUCAGCUAGUUGGUGAGGUAACGGCUCACCAAGGCGACGACGGGUAGCCGGCCUGAGAGGGUGACCGGCCACACUGGGACUGAGACACGGCCCAGACUCCUACGGGAGGCAGCAGUGGGGAAUAUUGCACAAUGGGCGCAAGCCUGAUGCAGCAACGCCGCGUGAGGGACGAAGGCCUUCGGGUUGUAAACCUCUUUUAGCAGGGAAGAAGCGAAAGUGACGGUACCUGCAGAAAAAGCACCGGCUAACUACGUGCCAGCCGCCGCCGUAA